GGUGAGUAACACGUGGAUAACCUACCUAUAAGACUGGGAUAACUUCGGGAAACCGGAGCUAAUACCGGAUAAUAUUUUGAACCGCAUGGUUCAAAAGUGAAAGACGGUCUUGCCGUCACUUAUAGAUGGAUCCGCGCUGCAUUAGCUAGUUGGUAAGGUAGCGGCUUACCAAGGCAACGAUGCAUAGCCGACCUGAGAGGGUGAUCGGCCACACUGGAACUGAGACACGGUCCAG
rnacentral:rRNA from 1 species